CUGCGGAAACCAUAGAACUGAAUUGUGUCUAUUUACAUCAAAUGAGUACAGCUACUGUGCAGAGUGCGGAAAGUGAAGCAGCAUUCGAGGUCCAAAGCUCCAGCAGGAGAGAAGCAAUGCUUUCUGUGAAUGAGAUACAGGCCGCCGCCCGCCCAAUCAGAACACGGGAGAUAUCAGCCAAUCCCGGCCCGCCGAUGCUCUAGUAUCGGGCGGGGCCCACACGCCCAAGAGUUGUUUGUCUGCCUCGGGUCCCCUCCAGCCCUACCGUUGGAGGAAAGAGGCGGAGAGGAGGCCAGGAGGCCGGCACGGUUGAUCAGGCCAAAUGGUGGCGGGCGCCAAAUGCCAGGCCAAUGUGGAGCCAGUUUGGGCUCCACAUCAGGGUGACUGAUCCAGCCAUGGCAACACUCACAUUUACCUUGUCCCUGCGGGGCUGGUUCCUCUCCCGGAUCAGUGGUGGUGUUCCUUUUCUUCUUAGGAAGGAAAGAGGAGGUCUGGCCUGUGCUGAGCUUGCAGCUAGAGAAGGACGAACGAACUCUUUGAUUGUCAGGACGGUGAGAUUGCGCGGGAAGCUGUACAGUUGCCUUCUCUGGAUAUAGUGAAUGUGGAGAACGAAGGAGAUGGAAUGACCUCUCUGAAGCAGGAUGCACCAUCCCCAGAUAGGUACAUAUCGGAUCUCCCAGCCUGGUGACUCUUCCGUGGUCUAAUCUGAACACCUCUGGCCUGCCACACCUCUGGCCAGCCUCCAGUUAGCUGGAGAUGUGCCAUCCGUCUCAUUUUCUCAUUCCUCGGAUGAAGCUCGUUCCCCAUGCUGGAUGCCAACCCCCAAAAUCUGAGGUCUAUUCAGAGGACCAAACUACAGGGCCCUUUGAGAAGAGUGGAGACACCUGAACAGCCGGGACUGGAAUGAUUAACUAGCAACUCAGUGAAAUAACACUUCCCUUGUUCCCAGGACAAACACAGCACGAAGAACACUUUCCUCCAGCUGUGUUCACUGAGUCACUAAAGG